CUACGGGGCGCAGCAGUAGGGAAUCUUCGGCAAUGGACGGAAGUCUGACCGAGCAACGCCGCGUGAGUGAAGAAGGUUUUCGGAUCGUAAAGCUCUGUUGUAAGAGAAGAACGAGUGUGAGAGUGGAAAGUUCACACUGUGACGGUAUCUUACCAGAAAGGGACGGCUAACUACGUGCCAGCAGCCGCGGUAAUACGUAGGUCCCGAGCGUUGUCCGGAUUUAUUGGGCGUAAAACGAGCGCAGGCGGUUAGAUAAGUCUGAAGUUAAAGGCUGUGGCUUAACCAUAGUACGCUUUGGAAACUGUUUAGCUUGAGUGCAGAAGGGGAGAGUGGAAUUCCAUGUGUAGCGGUGAAAUGCGUAGAUAUAUGGAGGAACACCGGUGGCGAAAGCGGCUCUCUGGUCUGUAACUGACGCUGAGGCUCGAAAGCGUGGGGAGCAAACAGGAUUAGAUACCCCCGUAGUC
rnacentral:rRNA from 1 species